rnacentral:rRNA from 1 species
UACGUAGGGGGCUAGCGUUGCUCGGAAUCACUGGGCGUAAAGCGCGCGUAGGCGGACUCUUAAGUCGGUGGUGAAAUCCUGGAGCUCAACUCCAGAACUGCCUUCGAUACUGAGAGUCUCGAGUCCGAGAGAGGUGAGUGGAACUGCGAGUGUAGAGGUGAAAUUCGUAGAUAUUCGCAAGAACACCAGUGGCGAAGGCGGCUCACUGGCUCGGUACUGACGCUGAGGUGCGAAAGCGUGGGGAGCAAACAGG